rnacentral:misc_RNA from 1 species
GAUGAAGAACGCAGCGAAAUGCGAUAAGUAAUGUGAAUUGCAGAAUUCAGUGAAUCAUCGAAUCUUUGAACGCACAUUGCGCCCGCCAGUAUUCUGGCGGGCAUGCCUGUUCGAGCGUCAUUAUCAACCCUCAAGCCCCUUUGGCUUGGUGUUGGAGACUGGCGGGGCGCAUGCGCCCGGAGCCACUCCCAAAUACAAUGACGGCGGCGACGAUGACCCCCGGCACACUGAGCUUCUCACCGAGCACGUGCUGGAAGGGUCUUGUGGCCACGGUCUGCCUCCCCUCUGGGAGAAACGGAUUUCAUCCACCAAGGUCGACCUCGGAUCAGGUAGGGAUACCCGCUGAACUUAAGCAUAUCAAUAAGCGGAGGA